GAAACUCAUUAAAUGGAGAUACUAUUAGGAAUGCCUCUGCCAGUCAAUCCUUCCUCACUAGAAGGAUAAAGCAGAGUGUAUGGCAUCUUCACAGGCCCGUAUCGGUUUCUCAAUGACUCAUCAUUGUUCCUUUUGAUGAGCUUUGCCUCAAUUUCAGCCAACUUCCUUCCAAACCUCUUGAAAGCUUCUAAUGGCUGUGAAUCAAAAGUCCAAGCCUCACCUUCAUUUCUCUGUCCAAGGUAUUGCUCAUCAGAAGCAUGCCUUGACAAGACCUCUAUGAUUGUAAGGUCAGUUAGGGUAUCAUUUUUUGGUGUGAUUGUCCUCAGAUACGCCUUCUGAAAGUUCUUAGAAAGCUCGUCAUACUCAGCAGACCCUUUCUUAGGCAUGUGUCUCCGGCUCUUAGUUGGUCGGUUAAGUAUAUAUCCUCCAUAUGGGUAUUGACCAAAAUUAACAGCUGCAUGAUGUGCUGAAGCAAUCCAUAUGAGGAUAGUGCAAGCUUCAAUCAACUCUGUACAAGUUUGCAUCUUAAACCACCAUGUAGCAUUCUUCAAAUCACCAUGACCCACCUCUACAACUUCUCUCCAAAAUGCUUGCAGUUCAGAAUCUUGCGCAACAGCAACAUCUGACUUGUAGUAGAAAUUCACAUAUUCUUCAACCCAUGACUUGAUAGCAUCCCAUAUCUCUAGUCCAUCAGCAGCAUAAGGGUAGUCCUCUAUCAGAAGGCGAAUUCCAUGUGGGGAAGUUGGAUCCUCAACAGCCACUCCUCUAGAUAUAGCAUGCAAGGAAGAUAUCAUUAACAUAAAAAAUACUUUUGACAUCAAUAUCUUUUUUACCAAGAUUAUUAAAUUUCUAUUGUAGUCACAAUCCUAGCCAUUAUAGAGAAUUGCGGUAAAAUAUAGUUGAUGCCUUAUCUUAGAUCAUGGUUACUAGCAUUAUUUCAAUCCUUUUUUAACUAAUGAAUGAGUAGUAACUAAUUUUUUUUUGAAGGUUACCUUUUAAGUAGAUCAUUAGGUAGUCCUUGAUCUGGGAAAACCCAAUCCUUAUAUAAUACAGAAGACAGUUCUAUAGAAUGACUUCCCAAUAAGAAUGUUGAUUCUAUAAUACCCUCUGCAUUUACCAAGACACUCCUUGCAAGUGCAUUAAUGUUCAUUGUGUCACGAUAAUGUGGAAGCAGAAGUUUGUGAAUAGGGUGAACCACACUAAGAUGCCUAUUAGUUGCUAUGAUGAAUGGCUCAACAACAGCGUGCGUGUUCAACCUGUUACACAUGUAGAUAUUCAUGAAUCAAUCUUAGAUAUAUAAAAUUAAAUAUGUUUGAUUCUAUAAAAAUUCAUCAACAUAAUUGUACCAGUGGCUGACAAGUUGGUGAACAGAAGAGUCAUUUACAAUAACAUAAGCCUUGGCAAGGAGCCAAAUAGAAGAUUCAACACCUUCCUUUGCAGGCAAGUAAACAUCACUAACAGGACCAAAGCUAUCAGCCUGAGGAUGUGGGCUACUUAGCUCAAUGGCUAAUGGCUUCAAAGUUCCAUCAUUUUGUAAGAAAAUGAUAGUUCUAGUAGCAUAUGCCUUUGUUGUAUCAGCUGCAUUUAUUUUCCUCAGAUAUGGAUAUAUUGAGUCAUGGUGAUCAAGUAUGUAAAGCCUGUUGUUUUGGAUAGCCUAUUGAACAAAAUAUAAUUUAGUCAUUGCAAUUAUUUGAAUAAUAAAUAACCACAAAAUAACAUUGUCAAAGUUAAAUUAUAUGCAUAGUAUUAAUGUUAAACUAUGUCAUUACUUCUUCUACAGUGACCCCAUCCAUGUUUAGCUCUAACUGUUCUUCGGUUAUUGUGCUCGUAUUAUCACCAUAAUCGGUAUUUAGCUUGCUCUUUGGUGGGAACUCCUACAUUAUAUAUAACAAGUAAUACUGAAAUUAAGAUUGAAAAUAUAGUAUGUAAAGUGGACAAAAUAGAGUUUAAUUUUGUGUUUGUAAAGAAAUCGUUAAACUAUUAAGUUUACCUGAAUUCUUUUUAUAAUGUGUGGAUUCACACCAGCAAUCAUCUCCCUUGCAAAUUCUUCAUCAGUCAUCCACGCAGACUGAUUAACUGCUCAAAAUAAGAGCAUUGCAAAUGAUCUGUAAUAUUUUUAUUUAUUCUAUGAAAAUAUAUUGCUAGGACUAACUAAUAGAUACCUUGAAUCACUUUAGGCGGUGGAAACUUUAGGGCCGAUUCACCAUCAGUUCGGAAGAGUUCCUUGAAAAAUGGUAUGGGGCUAAGUUUGCUAAGUAUACUAGUAGGUAAUUUAAUCCCACCAUCAUAAAAUGAUCGCACAUCAUCAAAGCUAUUAAAUUCUGGCUUAUUGAGUUGUAAUGUAAUUGCAGAUUGUAAUUGAGGUAUGAAACUUUGAGAAGCUGAUUUGAGUAUGUAAACAAGAAAAUCUGAAGACUUCAAGUGACCAAAUGCUUCAUCUCUUGGAACGUAAACAAAGUCGUCCCGUCUCUCACUUUUAGGAUCUGUUCACAUACAAAAUUGAAGACACGCAUUAGCAAGUACUAGCAAAAAGAUCGAUAACUUUAAAGUCAUAAUAGAGAAAAUGUUUUGAUCACAGCACCAUUAAUUUAAUAUGGAACUUUAAAAUUAUAACCUUUUUUAGCUGGUUUCCUGCCGGUUCUGCCCCUUCGAGGGUAAGGCAAGGUGUCGGAUCCUCCAAUAACGGGACGAGCCAAGUGUGCGUACUUGUCAGGAUCACCCAAGUCAUUGUAAACAUCGUAGUCAUAGAUUCUAUCGUGUUCCUUGCGCUGACCCGUUCCAUCUCCUCUUAAAGUCUUCAAUUCUUCUUCUCUAUAGUAGACUAAUGGAGCUGGUGUUUCACUUGGAAGGUAUGUCUAUAUUUUUAUUUAUUUGAUGGUGUAAGAUUUCAGGAAAUAUAGUUCAUAUUUAAAGGUCUUGCUAACAAGUGCCCUAAUGUUAAGAUUAAAAUAUUGAAACCAGUUGAUAGCUUUCAUGUAGAAAAAAUUGUUUUUUGAUGUUCCAAUGUGUUAACAUUUCACUAUAUUUAACAUGCACGAUAAAUAUGGUAUAUUCAUUACCUUGUUGGCGAAGAAGAUGCGUUUCGUUUUAUACUUGUCAGCACUGUAAAUCCAUGAGUUGCAUACAAAGUUGAUGGUUCCAUGGUUUGGAAUAUCUUCAAGUGUCAAACUUACAAGGAAGAAUUCUCGUGUCAUGUUACUCUCAAUAUAAAAUGCUCCUGGAACUCCCAUGUCACUAUUCCAUUCAAAAUGAAUAUCAUAUGCAGACUGUCCUGCUCCCAAAAUUGGCAUGGAAGUAACAAAACCUUCAAUAAAUGUUUUCUCUCCGACUUUCCCUUUUCCGCUUCCUACAAAUAUGUUACAAGUUUGAUUUACAAUUUCAGCAAUGAUAAUACUCCCUCCGUCUCACAUCAGGUGUCACAUUUGAGUUUUACACAAUUAUUAAAAAAAUGAUUAAUAAUUUUGAUUUUAAUGAUAAAUAUGUAUCAUUUACUAACAUACUUUUAUUAAUUAUAAUUAGUGGAAUAUUUUUAAAUGAUUCAAAUACAAUAGAUACAGAUAUGUUAAAAGAAAAUAAUAAUAAAUAUUGUAUUAUUAGUGUUAUAAAAGGGACAAAUAAAUUAAGAAAAAAAACAUAUAAUUUAAGACGGAGGGGAAAAAACAUCUAAUUUGAAACGGGGGAGUAACAUUCAAGAUUAAUUUAUGUCAAAGUAACAAAUUACUCUUUUUGUGCCAAAAAAAUAUUAAUUCUUUCCACCUGAAUAAAGUGUUUUAUAUAGGAGUUGAUAGUUGAUUAUAUCUUUCAUGCUAUAAAUAAGUUUUUGGUCCCUUUAAAUAUCUCAAAUUUCAGUUUUUAUAGUUCAAAAUAUUUUCAGCAAAAUUUGGGUUUGCUAAAAAUAACUUAGAAGGAAAAACUUGCCAAAUUGUUUUAGAGAGACUAUAUAUAAAAUUUUAGAUAUUUAUACAGUAUCCCUAAAAAAAAAAAGAAAUUUAUACGGUAGAAUUAUUUUUUUUAACCCAUUUUGUAAUGAUAAAACAAAAGGGAAACUGAAUUGAAUCUUAUGGACUAAGGGUCAAAUAAUAGAGGAAAAAAAAAAUCAAAUUAUUGAUAAGUAUUAAUAAAAAAAUUAAACCUCACAAAGAUUAAUUUAAUGUAUCAAACUAAUAACUGAAGACUAACAUAUCAUAUGAUUUUCUAUGUAAAAUGUUACCAGAUCGAAAAUCAUAUGAUAUGUUAAUGAGGUAAAUCAAGACUAACUUCUGAUGUGUGUGUAUAAACUUCAAUUCAUUUGUAAACUUUAUUAAUGUUUACUCGUUAAAGCGUUAUUGAGCAGCGCAACACUGUCCAAAUACUAUAUGUGUUCAGUGUUGUAAAUUUAUGACGAGCAUUAUGUAGUCUUAGAAUGAGAAAUGAAUAAGUUUAUUACCAUCGGCAGUGGUAGCACUGAUCAACCUGAGAGCCACAGAACGGCCGACAAAGGCCCCGGCGGUGUCAAUUAGAGUGCCGGCGACACCACCAACAGCCUUGAUUCCAGUUUUGACCAAAUUAGUGGUGUUUUUAGUUGCACCAUUGAUGGCAUUGAUGUCGAAAACAUUUGUUUGCAUCAACACAACUGUGCCCUUCACCUUUUGGCCUCUCUUAAGCAUACUUUUGAACCCUGAAUACAUCUUAAUUUGCUGCUUAAAUUUUUUUUUUUGCAAAUUAAUGAGAGAAAAGUUUGUGGCUGGCAAGAUGCAACCAUCUCAUUAUUUAUAGGGCCAAAAUUAAGCUUCUGAUUAAGAACAAAUAAUUUUUUUUUAAUUGAUUAAUUGAUCAUUGACAUCGUGCAAAAACUAUUAGUAAUAGGCUAAUCGUGGAAUAUAAAAUAAUGAUGUAUUUUAUUAUAGAAAGAAGAUAACAAUAUGUGUUACACAAUCAUAUUAUGACAAAUGGAUUUUUGAACUAUAGUUAAUUAGAUUCUAACGCGUACACCAAUAGUAAUAGGCUAAUCGUGCAAAAAUUAUUUCCUGAUACGAGGUCGUCUUUCUUUCCAUUGUUAAUAAUAUCCCUUCUCACAACUCACAUUCACAUACCGUAACCAUGGUUCAAUUUAAUAAUAUUAAUAAUAAGAGGAUGUACAAGAGUUAAUUAAACUAUGCAAGUGCAACUCCUAUAUGAUUUUAAGAUGAACAUAACUCAACUCUUACAAAUAUGAUUUGUAAGGUGAGGGGUUUCCCACUUAUAAUAAACUCAUUUUAUCUUCAUUUAAUAUAGAACUUUUACACUGCUCAUAUAUGUUUAAGAAUGGACGACAGGAGUGUGACUCGAGUUGUAUGAAAAUAGAUGAUCAAAUAGAUUUUAUUACGACUAUAAUACAUAAUGAAGGUUGUCCCCGUGAGCAUACUCAGUUGAUAGGGACAUACAUAAUUAUAUGCAGGGGUUGGGGUUUGAACCCAGACACCCCACUCAUUCACCUUGAAAAAGGUGAAUUCUAGCCACUAGAUUAAAAAAAAAAAAAUUAAGAAUUCAUUUUCAGGUAUAGUUUUAUCAUCAAGUGUGAAACUAUUAAUAUAUGCAAUGUUAAAAUAUAAAAUAAAUUUGUUUUUAUUUUUUAUCGCAAGAUUUAUCAUUAAACUUUAUUUAGUUGUUUUGACUCAUUCCUUUUUCUAUAUUUUAGCUGUUUUAGUUGAAUGUAGUUCCGUUAGAACUAAAAUUUAAGUUUUUUUUUUUUUUUUUUUUUGGAAAGUUCCAUGAAAAAGAAAUUAGUUUUUUUUUUUUCUUUUUUUCUAGUACUGCAAACUUUAAAAAUAUAAUUUUUCUGAAUGCUUUUGUAUGAAUGAAUUUUGAGGAGUGUUAGAAACACUCUCUUUUUAACACCUACAUUGAUAUUUAAUUUACUCUUUUAUUGAAUGAAUUCAUUGAUAUUUACUAUUUUAUUGAAUAAAUUAAAUGUGUAUUAUACAUUUUAAAAUGAGUUUCACAUAAAAUGGUGGAUUCCAUAGAUUUCGUCAAAUAAAAUAGUGGAUGUUAGAAAGAAUGUUCAACUCUAUGGUCUAUUCACUAAUAUUUUCACACCCCACAAAAUAUUUCUAAUACAAAAUAUUUUGUCAAGAUUGAAUAAACUUUCAAAAAAACUUGAGCUAAAUUUUCCAGAAGAAAAAACUGUUGAUUGGAAUACACGGGGAAUUUUUUUUUGGAAUUUUAGUCACGCUUCAAAUGUGGUUAAACUGCCGAAUUUGUAAAACGUAAUACUUGGAAAAAGAUUUCCAAAAUUUUAUCCAUAGUUGCUAAAAAUCCUGAGGAAAAUUCAAUGAAUCUGCCGUUUAGUAUCAUUUCAAGAAACUUUUAAUCAAUUGUAAAAAACUUUUACUUACCAGAAAUAUUUUGUCCGAGUUAAAGUCAAAUGACAAAAAGAUAAAAUUAACAAUAGAAUUUUUUAUAGUUUGUAGGGAGGAGAUGUAUGAAUGCAGGGGUAAAGAUUAAAGUGAAUUUUUAUUUAAACUAUAGAGCAAAAGCAAAAGCCCGCGACAUGUGCAAUGAGGCUAAGGCUUUGUAGAGCAAGAGUGAUUUUUUAUUUUUUCACAAGAGUUGUUAGGGCAAUGAGGACUACCCUACUCUUCCUACCCCACAAAGUAUAUAACAUGUCUAAUUUAUUUCCAACGACUUUAAAUUAUUGAGGAAUAGGAGUUUAGUCCUUUCAUCAUUUCAGUUUUUGGGAUCGAAAAAUUGAAAAAGUCAAAAUUUGAAUUUUUUUUUUAAUGUACUAGUUUUUCUAGUCCAUACGAAGAGAUACAUAUCAUGUGAAAUUCACACAUAAGACUGUAAGAUUAUAAGUUUGAAGCGGACAAAGAUGUUCAAACUAAAAAUAUUGAUAUUAGUCAUUGAAAUAGACCAUGCAGACAAGAAAAUAUUAGUUUUUGAAAGAAAGAAAAAACAAUGUUACGAGGAACUCAAAUUUUGAGUUUUUGAUAAAUUAAAAAAUUUGAAAAAAUGGGAGUAUUUGUUAACAUUUCCCUAUAAAUGAAAACGAUAAAACCAAACAUUUUAAAAGAAUAUAGUAGUAUGAUUUUGAGGGGUAGGUAGAAUAAUUCUUCUGGAGCGAUAAUGCUAUGAGAAGAGCAACCAAUUGCAUAUACUUGGAUAUGGUUUGGAAGGAGCACAUUUUCCAACUCAUUAAUUAUUUUAGAGAGUGACUAAUUUUUUUUUUUGUUAGACAUGGUUACACGUAAGUACAAGUUUAGUUAGGGGUGCCCUACUUUCGUGUGGUGAAUUCGAUGAUUUUUGACUUUGGAUCGCGUGUUCAAUUUCAUCAUUCUUGGAGAGAAUGAGACUUUUUAUCUUGCACAACUCUCGAGUCUCCUUCUAAUUAACUUUAUAAACUUAUUUUUGAUCAUAUCUUUGGGGCUUGCAUACUUAGAAGUGUUUGUUUUGAUUUGUAGUUUUUCUUUGGGCUUCGACCAUCUUUUGUACCAAAACAAGAGAUUACUUUUUGCGUCCAAUGAGUUUCUCACGCACCAUAUUUUUUUUUUAAUACCCUUUAGAUUCUAUAAUUCAAACAGCACUUCAGCUUAUAUAAUCUGAAAACUUGUAUUUCCAAUAUUUACUUAACAUCGCUGAUUUACAAAACAUCAUUGACAUAUACUAUUAAGAAAACAUAAUUGAAAAUGACCAAAAAUUGAAACAAAAAUGUAGAGACAUAAAAACGAAUUCAAAUUCUCAUUAUAUUAAUAGAUCAUAUCUUGAAAGUACAUUUACAUUAACAUCAAAGCAUAUUACGCAAAAUUAUUAAACAUCUAAUAUUAAACAUAUGGUGCAAGAAGAUCAUGUAGGGGUAAAAAGAAUAUGAUGGAGGGGGAAGGAGGUUGGAGUAAGGUUUUUUUUUUUUUUUUUUAGGAUGAAGGAUACUUUGAUGGUCAACCUUACACCUAAACAUAUCAAAUUUACAUCCAAACAUAUGGUACAAAUUUGCAUAGUGGCACCAUCUUCGUUGAUCGCUCAUACGAUCGCUAAAAUAAAAGAGUAACCUUUUUGUAUAAAAGGUCAACGAUGGAAGCAUAUUAAUUGUGGAAGAAAACAGAAGGAGAAAAUGUGAAGAAUGAGAAUUUGUGAAGGAUUGGUGGGUAUUUACAGGAGGAACUUGUGAAGGAUGAUGCAUAGAGUGUAUAAGACCAUUGAUUACGGUCAAAAAACGUGGUAAACCUGGUUCGACCGGUCAAUGAAACUGAUAUGACCAAAGAAAAACUUGUUCAAUGAGUUAGUCUUGCUGAGCUGAUUCGAACUCUGAACUAGUUCAUAUUAGGUAAUUUGAACUCAUCCCAGGAAUGUUAUUAUAUAAUCCGAACUAAUUUAAGAUUGUGUUAAAAUUCAUACCUUAUAGGGUGAGGGAGAGUUUAAAUUAUAAAUUAUAUAAUUCAAACCAGUUCAAUACAUGUUCUUUUUGUGAUCUACAUUGCACCAACAGUUUCCUUUUAUGUUUUUUUUCUUUUUCUGUGUUCUGGUGUUGUGCCUUAUUGGCCUUUUUUUCCAAAACUGUGACACCAAUUUUUUAGGGCGAGAAUAGAAUUUGAUUGAUUCUCUUCAUUAAAUUCAAUGGAUUUCAUAAAUUUCUAAUUUUAAGGUCACACGGCUAAUACAUAUAUAACACAAAGUGUCGUCAGAGUCUUUUGGCAUUGGUGUCAUACUAAUCUUGUUUGAAUUCUCUACUCCGAUUAUUUUCUAUUACUUUGAGAAUUCAUGAAGUCAUUCAUAGACCUAUUUAACACAUAAUUGAUGCCUGUGUUUUAUAUUUACACUUUAUUAAAACUGUUGUAAAAGAAAAAAAAAACAGACAUAAUCAUAUUUUCGUUUUAUAGUUACGGUUUGCAAGCAUGAAUUCUCACCUCCGUUGAUCUCUUUAAAUUAAUUCGAAGCUUCAAUUCAAAGUGGGUAGAAGAAAUUGUAAACAGAGCAAGAGGUUUAGCUUGGAAUUCAGAAAAAAGUCUUGAAGCUUCACCCUUUCAUCAAUUCUUGAUUUUUUCUUCAAUUUGAUUAAGGGGGAUUACCACUAAAUGACUGUUUUAUCUUUAUCUAUUUUAUGAGCAUGUUGUUGCUUUAUGAAAUUUUUAGAGAUUCUUAGUUUAUGCAAUCUAUUUUAUGUGUUUCUGUCAAUCGCACUUUUGCUGCUGCGUAUUUAUCUGGUUUUGUGUUUGUGUCAGUUUCUGCAUAAUAUCUGCAUUCGUUUAGGUUUCCUUGUAGUUUCUUGUUUAAUGCAAUUACUACAUAAUUGCAUUUCUAUUUUUCAUGUUUCAUUAGUUAAUGUUAUUGCUCUUUUUAGAUUUUAUUUCUGCAUAAUACAUUCUUUAAUGAUUUCUACUUGGCUACUGGUUAGAACUAACAAUUAAAAAUAAAAGAUCUUAAAUAAGGGCAGGUCUUUAAAAAAUACCAUUAUAAUUUUCAACGUAACAUGCUUCUCUAUUUUACAUCUCUUUGUUAUAUAUAUUCAAAUUGGUGAGGUAUUUGAGAUUCUAGAGGGUGAUAAAUGCCUUCCUGAAGAACAAUUGCAAAGCUUAUAAAUGCCUUCCUGAAGAACAAUUACAUCUCCAAAUGUGGUCUUCCUGGAAACUCAGGUGGCAGACAAAUUAAAUCUUGUUCUGGUUUUGCUUGCAUGCAAUGUAAAUUUGAAUCCCUCUAAUAUCUCUUUUGUUUAGAACCUUCUCCUUAUGUCUAUGGUUUUUUUUUUUUUUUAAAUUUAUAAAGAUGAGCAUAUUUCUUAUUCAAAUUUACUAAUUUAGAGAAGGGUUCAUUGGAUUUGAAACUUGUUAUCAUACUUAUGCAUAUGUCAUCUUCAUUUAUUUGUGUGGAUUUACAGGGUUGUAUAUGGAUUUGUUAUGUUUGCAACUUAUUUUCUUUUAUUUUCAAUAGGCUACAUAUGCUUCUUGUACAGUUUCUUUGGAAACAAAUAGGUGAUGGAAAGAAAUGGGAGCUGCAGAGAAGAACCGAUCGAUGGCGGAAUUUUCAUGGAAAUAUAUGUGCUCUACCUAAUGGUCAGUGUAACAACUUGAAGGCACCAUGAUUUCUAGUCAUAGUUUAAAAUUGUUUGAUGUAAAAGGUCGAAACUAAAGCAUUAAGGUAAAAUAUAAUUCACUUUAACUGUUAUUACUUUUUGGGUAUUAACAGCAUUGCAACUGUUAUAUAAUCUUAGGAAAUCAAUAUUGUACAUUACUUUUUCAGCACUAUCAUCUUUUUAUCAUGCCAUAUCGCACUACUAGGUUUGCACAAACCUUGGGGUCAUUAAUUCAUUUUUUCCAAACUUAAACUAAUGCAUUUCAUUAUCAUAUCACAUGUAUUACACAUACAAGAGGUAAACACAUCUUAAGAACUUCUUAUUGAUGUAUAGUAAAACAUAAAAGCAAGCAAACAAACAAACAUACAUAAUAACAAGACCAUGACGAUGAGGGAAUUUGACAACUUCACACAUUUUAUUCAGAGCAAAGCAACAUACCAUCAAAUUCUUUAGAUGGAGAUACUAUUAGGAAUGCCUCUGCAAGUCAAUCCUUUCUCACUAGAAGGAUAAAGCAGAGUGUAUGGCAUAUUCACAGGCCCGUAUCGGUUUCUCAAUGACUCAUCAUUGUUCCUUUCAAUGAGCUUUACCUCAAUUUCAGCCAACUUCCUUCCAAACCUCUUGAAAGCUUCUAAUGGCUGUGAAUCUGAAGUCCAAACCUCGCCUUCAUUUCUCUGUCCAAGGUAUUGCUCAUCAGAAGCAUGCCUUGAUAAGACCUCUAAGAUCGUAAGGUCAGUGAGGGUAUCAUUUUUUGGUGUGAUUGUCCUUAGAUACACCUUUUGAAAGUUCUUAGAAAGCUCGGCAUACUCAGCAGACCCUUUCUCAGGCAUGUGUCUCCGGCUUUUAGUUGGUCGGUUAAGUAUAUAUCCUCCAUAUGGAUAUUGACCAAAAUUAACAGCUGCAUGAUGUGCUGAAGCAAUCCAUAUGAGGAUAGUGCAAGCUUCAAUCAACUCUGUACAAGUUUGCAUCUUAAACCACCAUGUAGCAUUCUUCAAAUCACCAUGACCCACCUCUACAACUUCUCUCCAAAAUGCUUGCAGUUCAGAAUCUUGCGCAACAGCAGCAUCUGACGUGUAGUAGAAACUCACAUAUUCUUCAACCCAUGACUUGAUAGCAUCCCAUAUCUCUAGUCCAUCAGCAGCAUAAGGGUAGUCCUCUAUCAGAAGGCGAAUUCCAUGUGGGGAAGUUGGAUCCUCAACAGCCACUCCUCUAGAUAACAAGCAAGGAAGAUAUCAUUAAUAUAAAAAAUUAAAAAGCUUGAGAUCAGUAUCUAUUUAACCAAGAUUUUAAAUUGGUUGUAGUAUGAUCUUAGUUAUUCUAGCGAAACGCGGUAAAAUACAGUUGAUGUGGCCUCAACCAACGGUGUUUGGACAUAAAAAAACCUUGAUUUCUCGUCUUACAUUGUGGUUACUAACAUUUUUUCCAAUCCUUUUUUUUUACUAAUUAAUUUAUGUGCAGGAUCUAAUAUUUUGUAAGGUUACCUUUUCAGUAAAUCAUUAGGAAGACCGUGCUCUAUGAAAACCCAAUCCUUAUAUAAUAGAGCAGACAAUUCUAAAGAAUAACGUCCCAUCAAGAAUGUCGAUUCUAUAAUACCCUCUGCAUUAACCAAGACAUUCCUUGCAAGUGCAUUAAUGUUCAUUGUGUCACGAUAAUGUGGAAGUAGAAGUUUGUGAAUAGGGUGAACCACACUAAGAUGCCUAUUUGUUGCUAUGAUGAAUGGCUCAACAACAGCAUGAGUGUUCAACCUGUUACACAUGUAGAUAUUAAUGAAUUACUCAUAGAUUGAUGAAAUUAAAUACGUUUGAUUCUAGAAAAACUCAUCAACAUAAUUCGUACCAGUGGCUGACAAGUUGAUGAAAACAGGAGUCAUUUACAACAACGUAAGCUUUGGCAAGUAGCCAAAUAGAAGCUUCAACACCUUCACUUGCAGGCAAGUAAACAUUACUAACAGGACCAUAACUAUCUUCUUGAGGAUGUGGCUUACUUAGCUCAAUGGCCAAUGGCUUCAAAGUUCCAUCAUUUUGUAAGAAAAUGAAGGUUCUCGUAGCAUAUGCCUUUGUAUCAGUUGAGUUUAUUUUCCUCAAAUAUGGAAAUAUUGGGUCAUGGUGAUCAAGUAUGUAAAGCCUGUUGUUUUGGAUAGCCUAUUCAAAAAAAUAUAAUUUAGUCAUUGUAAUUAUUUGAAUCAUAAAUAACCACAAAAUAACAUUGGCAAAGAUGUAUAUUCAUGGUAUUAAUGUUAAACUAUGUCAUUACUUCUUCUACAGUGACCCCAUCCAUGUUUAGCUGUAACUGUUCUUCGGUUAUUGUGCUCGUAUUAUCACCGUAGAGUUGGGUAUCUAGCUUGCUCUUUGGUGGGAACUCCUACAAUAAAUAUAGAAAGUAAUAAUGAAGUUAACAAUUAAAAAUAGGAAAAUGUUAUUUCUAGCGAAGGAAAUAUGGCUGCUCCUAAUUCUUGAAGAUUUCGUGAUGCUAUCUUUCGGGAAAUAUGGUCAAAAUAAAAAUUAAAUUUUCUGUUCGCAAAGAAAUCGUUAAACUAUCAAGUUUACCUGAAGUCUUUUGAUUAUGUGUGGAUUCACACCAGCAAUCAUCUCCCUUGCAAAUUCUCCAUCAGUCAUCCAUGCAGACUGAUUAACUGCUCAAAAUAAGAGCAUUUCAAAUGAUCCGUGAUAUUUUUAUUUAUUCUAUGAAAAUAUAUUGCUAGGACUGAACAUGUGUUUCUAAUAGAUACCUUCAACCACUUUAGGUCGUGGAAACUUUAGGGCCGAUUCACCAUCAGUUCUGAGGAGUUCCUGGAACACUGGUAUGGGGCUAAUUUUGCUAAGUGCAUUAGUAGGUAAUUCAAUUCCACCAUGAUAUAAUGAACGGACAUCUUCAAAAGUGUUAAACUCUGGCUGAUUGAAUUGUAAUGUAAGUGCAGAUCGUAAUUGAGGUAUAACAUUUUGAGAUGCUGAUUUCAGUAUAUAAACAAGAAAGUCUGAAGACUUCAAGUGGCCAAAUGAUUCAUCUCUUGGAAUGUAAACAAAGUCGCUCCGACUCUCACUUUUAUCAUCUGUAACAUACAAAUAGAAGACAUUAGCAACAAGAUCAAUAUCUUUAAAAUCAUAUAGAGGAAAUGUUUUGAUCAUAGGACCUUUAACUUAAGAUAGAGCAUAAAGUUUAUCACCUUUUUUAGCAUGUUUCCUGCCGGUUCUCCCCCUUCGAGGGUAAGGCAAGUUAUUGGAUCCUCCAACAACGGGACGAGCCAAGCUUUCUUUCUUGUCAGGAUCACCCAAGUCAUUGUAAACAUCGUAGUCAUAGAUCCUAUCCGAUUCUUUGCGCUCACCCGUUCCAUCUCCUCUUAAAGUCUUCAAUUCUUCUUGUCUGUAGUAGACUAAUGGAGCUGGUGUUUCGCUUGGAAGGUACGUCUAUAUUUAUAUUUAUUUAUCGGUGUCAAAUUUUGAGAAAUAUAAUUUGUAUUAGCAUGUUAAAGAAAUAUGAUUUUUUUUCAUUACCUUGUUCGUAAAGAAGAUGCGUUUCGUUUUAUACUUUUUAGCAUUGUAAAUCCAUGAGUUGCAAACAAAGUUGAUGGUUCCAUGGAUGGGAAUAUCUUCAAGCGUCAAACUUACAAGGAAGAAUUCUCCUAGCAUGAAAUUUUCAAUAUAAAAUGCUCCUGGAAUUCCCAUCUCACUGUCCCAUUCAAAAUGAACAUCAAAUGCAGAUUGCCCUGCUCCCAAAAUUGGUAUGGAGGUAACAAGACCUUCUAAAUAUGUUUUUUUUCCCACUUUACCUUUUCCACUUCCUACAAAUAUGUCAUAAUGCUUAAUUUAUGUCAAUAUAAACAACUUAAUCUUUUCUUAUGCUAAGUGCUAAAUUUAUGUUCACCCAAGUUGCUUAGAUUAUAUCAAAGUGAAAUAAUUCCUAAUUUCCUACAUAUAUUUUAGUAAUAGUUGAUUUAUUAUUUAAAAUAAGUUACGUCAAAGUGAUAAUCACAAAAAUAAAAAUAAAAAUUUAUAAUAAAACAAAAGGGAAAAUAAAUUGAAUCUUAAUGGACUCAGGAUCAAAUUCUUGUAAAAAUUAAAAUAUAAAGACAAUUUUCAUUUGGAUCCUUUGUAAAGCCAUUCAUUUAAAAACGAUAAACUUUGAAACUUAUAUCACCUGCAGAUUUAAAAAAUGGUGAGGCCUAGGUUGCCUUUGAAAACUCAUGGGCAAUUUACCUAAACCAAUCAAAAGUUUUCAUGUGUACUCCAUUAGAAUAAUAACAUUUAUUAUUUUAUUUUGCAAAAAUUUAGCAAGUAUUUUAUUAUUUGCAUAUUCACCCCAUCUUAAAUUAAUGAUUUUUUACAAUUUAAACCAUCACAAUAAUUAAAUUUCACCUCUAAUUCAAUCACUCUCCAAACCUCUUUUUUAGCUUGGCAAAAAUCAUUAAAAAUUAAAAUUAUCACCCCUGAGAAUCAAACCUGGAUGCUCCCACCUAUUUAAAAUGUACUCUGGAACCACUUGAUCAAUACAUUUUUUAUGAAAUAAUUUGGAAUUCAAAAUUAUGUUAUUAGUGAGCAAAUUAUUUUAUUUUUAUUUGCAGUGCCUUUAUAACCUAGCUUUAGUGAGAAAAAAAAAUCAUUUUAUGUGUGUAUAAUUAUGAAGUAGUAAAUUUUUCUUAAGAAAAAUGAAUUCAUUCAAUUGAUUUUUUAUAUUUUAAAUUUCAUUCUUUUUUAUAAAUUCAUACUUUUAUAUAGAUUCGAUGACCUACGACAAUGUUUCAUUUGUGAUCCACCGAAUUAUGAUUUAUUUUAGGUACUAUUUUUCAUUUGGAUCAGAUAAAUUGUUUAAAGGUAAUAAUUUUUUUUUUUGCAAGGUCUUAUAAGUUAUAACCUAGCUUUAGUAAAAAAAAUCAUUUUAUAUGUGUAUAUUUAUGAAAUAGUAAAUCUUUCUUAAAAAAAAUAAUUCAUUCAAUUGAUUUUUUAUAUUUUAAAUAUCAUUCUUUUAUAUAAAUUUAUAAUUUUAUAUAGAUUCGAUGAACUACAACAUUGUUUCAUUUGUGAUCAAACGAAUUAUGAUUUAUUUUAGGUACUAUCUUUCAUUUUGAUCAGAUAAAUUGUUCAAAGGUAUUAUUAUUAUUAUUUUUUUUGCAGUGUCUUAUAAGUUAUAACCCAGCUUUAGUAUAAAAAAAAUAAAUCAUUUUAUAUGUGUAUAUUUAUGAAAUAGUAAAUAUUUCUUAAAAAAAAAAAAAUGAAUUCAUUCAAUUGAUUUUUUUUAUAUUUUAAAUAUCAUCCUUUUAUAUAAAUUCAUACUUUUAUAUAGAUUCGAUGACUGAUGGGAUAAAACCGCAAGUGCACGAUUCUACCAGAAUUCAGGGCAUUACAAACGCAACAUGUGGCAUAAAAACAUUACUUUAUAUGUAUAUACUAUUGAUUUUCCUGUUCAUUUAAAAUAUUUUAUUUGCUUAAUUGCACUUUUGGACCCCUAUCUUUUCAAAAGUUGCGGUUAUGGAUCCCUAACUAAUUUAAAUACAAAACAGUCCCCUAUGUUUUGAUUCUUUAGCAGUUUUGGACCCCCAAGGCAAAAAAAAAAAAAUUUGACAAGUGGCACCUCACUUAGGGUGCCACGUCAGCGUUGACCGAGUCAACAAUGAAUUGGGGUCCAAAAUUGGCAAAAAAUCAGAACAUAGGGGGCUGUUUUGUAUUUAAAUUAGUUAGGGGUCCAUAAUCGCAACUUUUGAAAAGAUAGGGGUCCAAAAGUGCAAUUAAGCCUAUUUUAUUUACUAUUUUAUCCUUUAAUAAUAUUAUAUUAAAUUUGAAUUAGAAAAAUGAAAUCUCAUUAAAAUAGGAAAUAUACCACUACAACAGGAACAAUACUAUAUAUACUUUUUUUUUUUUUUUUUACAAAAUACUAUAUAUACUAUAUAUGAAGGGAAUAGAGACUUUGGGCUGAAUUUUUUAUAAUUUCAAUUAUACCCUUUAAACAAAUUUUCCUAUAUUAAUGUUCCAUUCUUGGUGGUAUUAAAAAAAGAUAAGAAUUUAUAUUAUAUUUGUUAAACUACUGUGUUGUUGUGGUAAAAGAUAAACAUGAUUUUUUUGGGUUUGUUACAAUUUUAAUUUCACAAAUAUUUGUACUUAUAAUUUUAAUCAAAAUCAAAAUUUCAUAUAAAAUACCGUUCAUAAUUUACACAUGUCACGUGCCCGUUUUUUCGCUAGUUAUAUAUAGUAUUUAUACUAUAUAUAAAGAAAACUAUCUCUUUCAGCACUUUUGGACAGGAUUUUUCUUUCCAAAAAUACCCUUAAUUUUUAAUACAAACAACACAUGUAACAAAUAAAUAAGAAUAAAUUUAAAUAUUAAAACAAAUGUAACAAACACGAUAUGUGUGUUUGGUUUUUUUCCUUUAUCAUUUAAAAAGUGUAACAAACUAUAUGAGUAUAUUUAAUAUUUGCUUUUUUUAUUAUCCCAAUUAUACCAUUAAAACAAAAUCCAUAAUCAUCAAUCAACAACAAGAAGAUCCAACAUUUUAAAAAAUAAAUAGAUAAAUUUAAAGGAAUUUUUUUAAGAUUCUUAUGUUGUUACAUAAUAUUUGGACAAGAUUCUAAUUCUCAUUAAUCUUUUCUCCCACGUCAAGAAUAUCUCUUUGCUUCUUCUGAUUCAUAUUCAUUCAUUCCUUAUUAUUCUAAUUUUUAACUCAAUUCAUCUUCCUAUAGAUUUGCAUCGUUUUUGCUGAACCAAGAAGGACUGUUAAGUAGAAGAAUUCCAGAAUCAUAGAUGUAAUCACAAUAGUUCUCAAUGACAAUGCUUAAAAAAAAUUGAUUUUUUUCCCAAUCUAUCUCUCUCAAUCCCGAUCUACUCUCUAUCCCCUUAAACCCUUUUUUCCUAAACUAUUCCUUACCUCUCAUGCUCUCUCUUCUCCAUCGGAUACCAUUUCCCCUUCUAUCAUCUUCAUUGCAUUCUCCUCUUUCUCUUUCAUUUUUGACUUCUCAAUAAAAAAUCAAUCGCAGCUUCAAUUUUUUAUUGUCGAAUUCGAAUUCGAAUUUGGGGUGCGUGGGUUCGAUUGAGAGAGAUAGGGAUCGAGAUGAUGGAUAUAUAGACAACGGUGUUGAUGGUGGUUUUGAAAAAGAGGUUUUGAUGGUGGUUAUCUGGAUUUUCUCUGGAUUUUUUUUUAUGAAGGUGAUGAAUGAGGGAAAGAAAGAAGAUGAAGUAUGGGAUAUAAUGCUAGAUGUUGUUGGUUCACAGUAAGAUACAGUGGACAUGCAUGAUCUAACAAUCUUUCUUUAUUAAAAAAGAUCAAACGGUUUAUAUUAAAAAAAAUAAUAGGAUCUAUAGUGGACCAGGGGGUUCACCAUAGAUAUUUGAGGUUAAAGUUAAUUUAUUUGCAAACUGUGGGAAAAGUGAAGGACUAAAACGUGAGUUUUAUUAAUUGUGAGACCAAAAUAAAACCAAAGAAUUAAAUAAGCCUUUUUUUUUACUAAAGCUAAGUUAUAACUUAUAAGACAUUGCAAAAAAAAAAAAUUAAUACCUUUAAACAAUUUAUCUGAUCCAAAUGAAAAAUAUUAUCUAAAAUAAAUCAUAAUUUGGUUGAUCACAAAUGAAACAUUGUUGUAGUUCAUCGAAUCUAUAUAAAAGUAUGAAUUUAUAUAAAAGAAAGAUAUUUACAAUAUAAAAAAUCAAUUGAAUGAAUUUAUUAUUAUUUUUUAAGAAAGAUUUACUAUUUCAUAAAUAUACACACAUAAAAUGAUUAUUAUUAUUUUUACUAAAGUUAAAUUAUAAGUCACUGCAAAAAAAAAAAUAAAAAAAAUUGCUCACUAAUAACAUAUUUUUGCAUUCCAAUUUAAUUCAUAAAAAAUGUAUUGGUCAAGUGGUUUGGGAAAACAUUUCAAAUAAGUGGGUGCAUUUAAGUUCGAUUCCCACGAGUGAUAAUUUUAAUUUUUAAUGAUUUUUGCCAAAUUGUUCAACUAAAUUUGAAUGAAUGCAUGAUCUUUGGCAUUAAAUUCCAAAUUUGAUAAAAAAAAAAGAGAGUGAUUGGAUUAGAGGAGAAAUUUAAUUAUUGUGAUGGUUUAAAUUGUAAAAAAUCAUUAAUUUAAGAUGGGGUGAAUAUGCAAAUAAUAAAAUACAUGCUAAAUUUGUGCAAAAUAAAAUAAUAAAUAUUAUUAUUCUAAUGGAGUACAAAUGGAAAAUUUUGAUUGGUUUGGGUAAAUUGUCCAUGAGUUUUUAAAGGUAAUUUAGAAAAAACCUUAAAAAAUUGGUCUGUUACUUGUUUAGCGUACAAUUUAGCGACCGAUUUCAAAGUUUGGUAAAAUGCAAAGUUCACUAAAAUUGUGAAAAUGCUACCACGUUUUUUUCCCCCUCAUCUCAAUUAUCUACUGAUGUGAAAUGUUAUAUGUUAUUAGGAAUUCUCUCAGGUACUUAUGGGUCUGUUUGGUUAACCCCAAAAAAGAGCUUUUAGCUUCUAGCUUAUAGCUUAUAAGCUCGUUUGAUAAAAAAAACUCUGUUUGGUAACACUUUUUUACCAUGAGCUUAUAGCUUAUUUCACGAGCUUAUAAGCUAUUUUUCAGAAGCUAUUCCAAGUAGCGUUUGAGCUUAUAGCUUAUAGCUUCUCACUUUUUCUUCCAAUUUUACCCUUAUUAUUUCAUUUAAAUUGUAUUUUUAUCCAUUAUAAUUUUUAUAAUAAGCUACGUAAUAAAGACUACUAUCCCUUUAUUCCAAUUUUUGUAUAUAUAUCAGCUGGCCUUUUUUUUUUUUUUUGAAAAAAUAUAUACCUUCGUUUUUUUUUUACGAAACAAAAUAUUAUUAUUCUAUUAGUGUUACUUUUUUUUUUUUUUUGAGAUAAGUGUUAUUUUCUUUAUUCUCUGUUAUUAUUAUUACUCUAUUAGUGCUACUUUUUUUUUUUGUUUUUGAGGUAAAUGUUAUUUUUUUUAUAAAGUGGAAACACUUAAAUGAUAAUAAAUAUAAGAUAAAAUUUUAGUGAAUAAAAUUUAAUUUAAUUUAUAAUACAUAGGAUAUAUUAAAUUAAUAAAUUUAAAGUAUUUUUUUAAAGAAAAAUUAGUUUACAAAAUUACAAAUACUUAAAUUAAUGAUAUAAUUUUUAUUAUGAAUUAAGAAUACCCUUUAUGUCAUUUUACAUUUAUCAGCUAGUUGAACCGCUAUUUUUACCAAACACUUCAGUUAGCUUAUCAGCUAUAAGCUAUCAGCUAGCUUAUCAGCUAAAAGCUAUCAGCUAACUUAUCAAUUAUCCGCUAUUUUUACUAAACAGAGCCUAUGUCCACCGAUGUGAAAGGCAAACCAAAGUUUACUAAAAUUUCAAAAUUGUCACUGUGUGCAUCUUUCCCAUUAGGUAUUUUCUGUGCCGAUGUGAAAACCCCUGUUGUAAGAUGUAUAUUUUCUAGUAGUGGUUAUGCCAGCUUGUAGCCUUAGAUCUCUCCAAGGAAGAAAAAAGCUACUAAAAAAACUUGAAUUAGUAAGAAGAACUUUAGAGGAAAAAAAUCUCCCUAAAUUUAGUGACCAAAGUAUAGGGAAAAAAAAUAUUUUUCCAUCACUAAUUUUCGUCCCAAUUUUAUUUGUUUUAUUUUUAUAGUGAAAAUUCUACCUCAUAUAUUAACAAAAGAAUAAAGUUUAAAGGAUCAUCAAAUCAUCAGCACAUUAUAUCUUCACCUAAAAUCAUAAGACACUUACUAUAUGAAUCACUUUUUAUAUGGCAUUUGUUAAGAUAGACUCAUUUAAUUUUUAGAAGUACUACUUUAACAAGUUAAAACUAAAAUAAUAUAUAAAACAAGGGUUUAAGUUAGCAACUUUUGCAGGCAUUUGUUAGAAUAUAUUCACUCAUUUUUUUAAGGGACAUCCACUCAUUUUUUUUUUAGAAGGACUAUAUGUUAGAAGUGAUAAUGAAAAAUUUGUUAAUUAUACACACAGUAAGGUGCAUGUUGCUAAAAUACUCCAAAAAGCUUCCCCCAAACACAUAUUUCAAGGUGCAAAGUUCAAAUUCUUUUAGGAGAGUUGUAAAAUGAUCAUUAGUGUCGAGUAGUAGUAUGAAAGAUUAAGAAGUAAUUACCAUCAACAUUGGUAGCACUAAUCAACCUGAGAGCCACUGAACGGCCAAAGGAGGAAGUGUAGGUAUCAAUUAUAGAGCUAGUGAUAUCACCAACAACAUUGAAUCCACCUUUGAUUAAACCAGUGGCACUUUGAGCUGCAGUGAUUUCGUUGAUAUCCAAUACAUUCUUAUGCAUCAAUAUCACUGUCCCCUUCACCUUUUGGCCUCUGUUAAAGAUACUUUUCACCCCUGAAUACAUCUUAGUAAUUUACUGCUUUUAAUUUUGUAUUCUUUUGCAAAUUAAUGAAAGAAAAGUUUGUGGUUUGCAUGUUGCAACCAUCUCAUUAUUUAUAGGGCCAAAUUAAUGUUCUGAUUCAAAACUAUAUUAUUUUUUUAGAGACUGAUUCAAAUCAUAUGAGUCAAUGUUCUUUCCAUAUUUUAUCCUCAUCCAAAAUAAUUGAUCUACUUGUAAAAAAAAAACAUUUACCAAAAUAAUUUAUCUUUUUCAAUUUGCAUGCAACAUUAACGACUUCUUUUCUACUGUACAAUGGAAUUAAUAUCAUCAAUUUCAACUCAAUAUCUUCAAUUUUUUAUAUAUAUGGUAAAAGUUAAUACAUGAUAAAAGUACUUCAUUAAAAGCAAUCUUCUCUUUACUUUUAACAUAGGUGCAGUUUUUUUUUUUGAAUGAACAUAGGUGCAGUGUUAAAAAAAAAUGGAGUAUUCCUUAAACGAAUUAGUUGUCUUUUUUUAUGUGACUAAAAUGAAGUCGUCUUUGUUUAAACAUACUCUUCUCACAGAAGAUAACCAUGGUUCAGUGCAAUAAUAAUAAUAAUAAUAAUAAUAUUAGCAAGAGGACGUUGAGGACUAUAAUUUGAGAGGUAGGUAGGCGAAUUUACCGGGGCAAUAAUGCAAUGAGAAGAGCACCCAAUUGCAGUGCUUGGCCCCAAAGAUGUUCAAAACUAGACUAUUAGUGUGUGAAGAGAAAAACAAAAGAAGAAAAACAUGAUUUCUCAGUAUGUCCAGUUAUAUUCAAAUUUGUUAUAAUACAAUGUCAAUUGUUGAUUGAAACUAGAGAUUAGUUCAGGUAGCAGAUGAUGUCCUCGAUUAUGAUUCUCUUUCUUUGCACGAUUGACGUUGAGGAAAGAAUUUUCUCCCUCAGCUACGGGUUCCUGAAAUUAUUUAGUAAAAUGUUAAAUAGAGUUGUGUUUUUGGCCAAGAAGUGUAUGUAAACUAAGAUAAAGAGAUAAUGAUAAAUGGAUAAAUUAGCGAAAAAAAUAGCUUGUGUUUGAUUGUGUGUUGACUGUUAACUCGGUCUAAAGUCUUCAAGGUUGAUGUACUAGCCAAUAGACUCGAGAAAGAAUCGACCAACCCUCUUUCGGCUAAAAUAACACUUGCAUAACCUUCUAUCGGCUCGGAAAAUUCUCCCAACCAAAUGUCAUUUUGUGUUGCGUUAUCACUUGAAUUUCGAGUGAUGAGAUGACGCAACGUAAUUGAAAUGGUUACGAACAAUAUCAUCAUUACGUCAUAAAAGUAGAAAAGUAGUCGUUGGGAUGAAUCAAUUUGAGAUCUUUUGUGUAAAAGUAUUUCAUUACUCUCAUUUUUUUUUGGGUAUAAUUACUCUCAUUUUAACGUCUUCUACUUAUAUAUAUGAUUAAAUUUUGAUACAUUAAUAUGAGAAGAGUACUUUAUUAAAAAUAAUUUUAUCUCUCUUUCAUUUAUACAUUGUUCUUCAUCCAUGUGAAUUAGUUAACUAAAUCGGUUAUUUAUGAGGGAGAGAGUAUUUUUCUUUUGAACUAUAAUAUUUAUUUUGUGUAAACCUUCUGAUUUUGGGAAAAUAAACCGCUUUUUUUUUUUUAAAUAAAACUCUAAACUCCAGUUUUCAGUACGUAGGUAAGUUUGAAAUCAUCAAUUGAUCAUUGACAUGCAAAAACUAUUAGCAUGAGGCUAAGCGUGGCAGAUAAAAUAACAAUGAAUUUGUUUAAAAAACAGUAAUAAAGUACUGAAGGUAAAAUACUUUAUCAUAAAAAAAUAUAAUAAUAAUAUAUGUUGAUUGAUCAUAUUUUGACAAAUAGAUCUAUUGAGCUAUUGUUAAUUACAUUCUUACGUGUAUACAAAUAAAAAUAUUCCCUGUACGAGGUUGUCUUUUUUGUUUUUGAUUUUGAUGGUACGAGGUCGUCUUUCUUUCUUUUGUUUAAACAUACUACUUUUCUCACAUAAGGUAACCAUGGUUCAAUGUAAUAAUAUCAAUAAUUGUACAAGAGUUAAUUUAACCGUGCGAUUAUUGCACAUUACGAUGCUCUCCAUUUUCAAUUGUCACUAUUUACUUGUUAACAAAAUUAAAAAUAGUAGAAGUAGGACUAUACUAGAUUCAAUAAUAUUUUAACUUUUAAAAAAUUAAAUUCAUUAGUUUUGACCGUUUCCUAAUACAAUAUAUUGAUAAAUCCUUAAUCAAUGUCUUAAAUACACUUUUUAGUAUUUUUCUUAAAUUAAAUAGUAGGUCAUAUCAGAUUUUUAAAAUGUCACAUUCAAACCUAAAUAAUAAACCUACGACACGCCACAUGCUAGACAUUGAUCUUAAAAAUUUUGGUAGAUUAGACUUAGAUUUUGCAAAAUUUAGUUCGGCCUAACCUAUUAUAUUUUGAAGAUUGCUCUAAUCCAUGUCCUAAUUAUUCAUCCCAUUAAUUCAGCUGUUCAAUAUUUUUCAACGGCAAUUACUGCUACGGGCAUUUUUAAGACCAGUUCAUUUACUUUUUAAAUUGUUUUAAUAGCAAUUUUCAUUAUUAUAUGUACCCCAUAUACGCUUCCCAUGACGUCCAACGCUGACAGCAGCAUGCAAGUGCACUUCACGUGAUCUUGUUCCUUAUUGCAUAGUUAGUUUUUUAUUUUCUAAUUUUACUAUACCGAACUCUAACAUUUUCACACUCAAAGUUCUUGCCCUGUCUCCCGUUUUUUUCUUUUCUUUUUUUAACAAAAACAACUUAUAUAUUUUCAUUCAUCAAAUCAAAUUGAAAGUAAUACAAGAUGGAAUUAAAUAAAAGAUAUGAUGCCGAAUAUACAUAGAUGUGAUAUAAGAUAGAAUAACGAGCAUAUAAUUAUAACACUUAAUAAUAUAUGAGUGACAUAAUUUGUUUGUGUUCAAGCUAAACUCAUCUUAAAGUUUUGAAACUGUUCUACUAAUAAUUUAACUGUGCGAUUGCGCAUUACGAUGCCCUCCAUUUUCAAUUGUGACUAUUUCCUUCAUCGCUCAUAUGAAUUAGCUGUUAAAAGGUAGGUCGUAUCAGACUUUCAAAAUGUCAUAUUUAAACCUAAAAAAUAAAUUUAUGAUAGACCGCAUGCUAGAUACAGGCCUUAAAUUUUUUAACAGAUUAUCCUUAAGUCUUGCAAAAUUUAGUUCGACCUGCCUAUUUCAAAAAUUGCUCAAAUCUAUUUCAUAAUUGUUCAUUCGCUUAAUUCAUUGGAAGUUAACUGUUGCUCGAUAUUUUUCAGCGGCAGUUCAGAUCGGUUUAUUCAUUUUUUAAGUUGAUGUAAAUAGAAAUAUGUACCCCAUAUUCGCUUCCCAUGACGUCCAAUGCUGAUAGAAGCAGCAUGCAAGUGCAAGUGUAUUAUAUUACCGUAUAGUCGCUUGAAAUGAAACCACACACUUCACGUGAUCUUAUUCUUUAUUGCAUUCGUUUUUUCUUCACUAAUUUUACUAUCCCAAAACUCUAACCUUUUCACACUCAAAGUUCUUGCCCUCUCUCCCUCUUUUUUGUUUGACCAAAAGCAACUUAUAUUUUUUCAUUCAUCAAAUCAAAUUGAAAGUAAUAUAAGAUAAAAUUAAAUAAAAGAUAUGAUAACAAGCAUACGAUUUUAACACCCUUAAUAAUAUAUGAGUGACAUAAUUUGUUUGUGUUCUUGCCAAAUUUAUCUUAAAGUUUGGAAAUUGUUCUACUUAUAUCUACAAUUGGACAAAAUACCGUCAAACUUCGAUUGAUUGCUAGAAUUAUCCAUGAUGUCUUCUGCCACUAACUUACAAUCUAGUUCAAUUUUCACGGUUGAUAAUCCUAAUUCUCGAACAUUCAUAGUGAUAUGUCCGGUGAAGAUGAGAUAAAUAUGGGGGUGGUUCUCUCCGGGAACUGCAUUUGUUCUCCGGAAAUUUUUCUUUAAGUUGUAAAUAGAUCAUUUAAGUUGUAUAUUUAUCGCACUCUUAUCCUUUUAAAGAUUUGUUUGAAACUUAAAAACUUAAAAAACUUCAUAUAGGUGUAUUAAAUUAACAAUUUAAAAGAUCUAUUUGAAUUUUUUAAAAAAAAAAAAACAAAAAAACUUAAAGGACAUAUUUAAACCUUAAAAAACUUAACUGAUCAACCUAAUAUUUUUGUCAAACUCAUAAAAAAGCGUUCAUGGCAUACGGUGUUUUCCUUCCAUAAAAAUAAAAAAUAAAAAAUAUCUGAAUGUAUUUUUGUUUUACAAAACUCACAUGGCAUGUUGUAGGAGAUUUGAGAUGUGUGUGGGGGUGGGUGUAAAAUUCCAUAAACCUGAUAAAUCAAAAUUGUUAAAAGUGAGAGUAAAUUGGAAUGGAAAAUUUAAAAAUUGUGGAAGUGGGGAACCACGUAAAAAUAAACUUUUCCAACUUAAACCAUAUGAUAAUUUCUUAAUCUGUCCUCUCAUGUUAUCAGCAGUACGCUUUUAAUAGUGUUUUAUAUUUGAAAUAUACUGCCAGAAAUACAUUUAUGAUAAUAUAAAUUGAUAGAUUUAAGCAAUAUAAGAAGAUUCAUAAAUUAUCAAAACAUGCGCAAUGCUAAAGCCCACAACAUGCAGAUGCACAAAGGAGGAUUCGAUUUGUAGUGCAAAGUUGUUGGGGCAAUGAAAAUCGGAUUUAAUUUGUAUGUAUAGAUAGUAUAAAACUUGUUUACACAUGUAUCAAAUCAAAUUACGCCAUUAAAAUAUUUAUGGAGAUAUUUAAACAAUUCACUUAUAAAAACGACACUUUAUUCUAAUUUGAUUGGAUGGAUAUAUAAAAAGAAAUUACACUACUUGUUCAGAAAAAAAAAAAGAAAUUACACUAUCGGUGCAUAGAAAUGACACUCAUGAAAAUUACCCUUCCUACCAAACAGUAUAUAAAGUCUCUAUAUUAUUGCCAACAACCAUAAAUUAUUGAGGAGGUAGAGGUUAGCCAUUUUAGCACGUUUGUGUUAUUGAGAUAACAAAAUUGAAAAAAGUCAAAAAUUGAGUUAUUUAAAAUGUAGUAGAUUUUGAAAGAAAGAAAAAAAGUUCCAAUGAACUCAAAUUUUUGAGUUUUUGAGAUAACCAAUUAAAAUUGUUCUUGGGACGUAAAACACGCUGAGUAUUAGGGGUGUUCAAAUCCAUACCAAUCCAAAAUAAAACCGCAAACUGAUCCAAAAAAACCGAAAACCGCAAAAAACCAAAUAUUUUUGGAUGUGUUUGGAUGUUGUUUUGGAAAAACCGCUAUGAUCGGAUCGGAUUUCGGAUUGCGUUUUCAAAACCAAACCGAACCGCAAAAGUAAAUUUUUAUACUUAUUUAUUAUUUUAUUAGUAUUAUAUAUUGCACUAAUAUAUUGCUUAUUGAUAUUUAAUCUUAUAUAUUGCAUUAAUUUAAUCUAUAUUAUUACUACUUCAUCUAUUUCAAAUAUAAUCAAUCAUUUUUAUUGUGUAAUGUUAACUUUUUAAAUAAAUUUGUGUCAUAUUUUGUAUCAAACCUAUUAUUUUAUUGUGUAUGAGUAAUAUUAAUAUUUAAAAAAAAAAUUACAUGUUACACUUUGGAUAUCCAAAAACCGAUCCAAAUUAAACCGCAUAUAUUUGGAUCGGAUCGGUUCGGAUUUUUUUAACAUAAUCAUCCAAACCGAACCGAACCGCACGUGAUUUUUAUUUUGGAUCGGUUGAUUUUUAACCUCAAAACCGAUCCAAACCGGACCGCGAACACCCCUACUGAGUAUGUAAGCUUAAUAUUGUUUUUCUUUUACAAAAAGUAAAUUUAAGGGGGUGUUUCUAUCAAGUAUAAUAUUUACAUUUAUGGGAAUACAUAGGUACGGAAUGAGUAUAUCCAUAUUUUUUAUAAGAUUGAGAAAUCAUUAUUCUUAGGUAUCUAAGGUUCUUAGGAAUGAAAUAACUUUUCUUAACUUUAAACAAUCUUACGAAAUUAUUCCCAAGGUAAAGGAUGGAAAAGUAGGUUCCCAUCAAAUUUUGUACACUUUUUUUCUAAAAGAAUAUAACUUGCAAUUCCCCUAGGAGUGUUCAAGAGUGUGCCAAACAUUUUUUUUUUUUUUUAAAUACCCAUGAAUAGAACUCCCGUCAUGAUAUCUUUAACUGUGAUUCCCUUUCUUCAAGCGAUUAAUGGUGAGGAUGGAACUUUGUUUUUAGGUUUUUUUUGCUACUAGACUAGUUGGAAAUGCAUGUAAAAUAACAACGGCAGAAAAAUAAAAGUGAUAAAAUAGGGAAAAUAGUUUGUGAUUGAUUGAUUAUGUGUUAAAUACAUUGUAUAGAGUAUGUACUUAUAGGCAAAACUAUUUCUACUGGCCACAAGAUAUUACCUACAGUGUUUAACCUUGUUCGACUAUUUUCACGAGUAAGCAUCAGCUUUCCCACGCUCGACUGUCAGCUUCCCAAUUAAUGGCAUGACAUGUUGACAAGGUCCAUAAUGUUUAGUACCUCAUUGUCCAGAUCUGCUUGAGCUUUGACUCAAUAUGAUGUCUUCAAGACAAUCGACCUACCCUUGUUUGGCUAGAAUAACACUUGCAUAGAUUUCCAUCGCUUGUCUAUUGAUUUCAGCUAACAUGACAUAUAUAAUUACUUUUAGGUGUAAACAUAUGCUUCCUUGCGUUGCAUUUUCGAUUGGCUUCCAAGUGAUUGGGAUGAUGCAACAUAAUCGAACUGAUUGCGCGUGAACAAUGCGAUCUUUUAUGAAUGGAUAUGAACUAAUAACCCUGUCAAUCCAAUAACUCCAACGGUUACCGCAGUUUUCUCAAUUGGUAUGGUGAUAUCUUCGCCUAUUUGAAAGACGAUCUUUACGUAUAAAUAACUUUUUAUAGACCUGGAUUAUUCCCCAACUUUUCACCCUUUGUCGUUCUUUUUAUGUGGCUUCCUAUCCACUAAAUAAUUCAUGACUAUUACUUUUUCUACCCUGCUGCCUUCUCGCGCGCCCUGCAAAAUUUACUAAAAUACCCCUGGUCCGGAUUACAUAAUCCGGAGCAAAUUGUUAGUGAUAUCCGAAAAACGAAAUUCGGACCAGAUGUUAUGCGUUUUUUUGUGUCUUUCUUUGAUGUCAAGGGUUUCUGUUGACCGUUAUAUGAACCCCACACAAGUUGCAAUGUUAUUCCAGGGUUCAUACGAACAGUCAAUAAUGACCAUGACACCACUAACACCCCAAAAAAACUAAAAACAUUUGAAGAAAAUGGAAGAAAAGAGGUGAAAUGAAGAAUGAAGGUAUUUGUUGAAGAUGGAAGCAUGUUUAUAGCCUAAAACAAGUCCUAGGUCAUUAGUACAGUAAAUGAAAACGUGUUAGUGGUUGUAACCGUCCAAACCCACAUUAAUGGCUCUCUUUCAAAAGAAUCCAAUGCUGAAGCUUUCAAGAUUUUACAUUCCGGAAUAACCUUAGCCCUACAGAAAGUGCCAACUUUUCCCUUGUUCACCAUUAUCGCAUUAAUCCGGAAAAUAUAUUCCGGAAAACAAAGGUGCAUUUCAGAUUUUAUUUUCUGGAAUGCAACAAUGUCAUGGCCAGUGGUCUGCACCACACAUUUUUGUCGAUGGUCAGGUAAUAAAAAACGUGUUUUAUCACGUUUUUUGACUGCAUUUAUGGUCUCCCAACCGUUUUUGCCCCUCCCUAUAAAUAACCUUCCAAACCCCACAAUUUCUCACACCAUCCUCUCUCACCCUCUCCUCCUCUUCUUCCUUCUAAAACCAUCGUUUUUCAUCGUUGGCCUUUCAUAGAUAAGGGUCUCGUUGAAAACUUUCAAGGUUUGUAUGAACGGUCAAUGUGGAUGGAACAGUGCUGCAACGAAGUGCGGUUCAUCUGAGGGUCAUGUGGGUCAGUGUGGUUCUUAGCUUGGCCUAUCUGGGCGUAAGUUUCAGCACCCCCACCUCCCUCAGGGACAUUGUUUUCUUCUUCCUGCCUUCCUCUUCCCUCCUCCUCCUCCGGUUUUCCUCCAUUAGGGAACCUACUGCUAUGUCCUAUCGCAUAGUAGUGAUUAGGAUCUUAGGAGAUUAGAAUUAGGCUCUUAGGAUAUUAGAAAUAGAUUUAGGAUCUUAUAUAAUAAGCUUAAAAAGCUUGAAAAUUAUUGUAAUGUAUAGUUCAUAUAUUAAUAAAAUGAGUUAUUUUUAUGUUUGUGUCCUUUUAUUUCUGUUUUUUAUUUUAUUUUACGAAUUGUAAAGCUUAAAAUUGCAAAAGUUAUGGUAAAAUAUUAUUCCGGAUUUUCAAAUCCGAUUUAAAAAUACAUUCCGGAAAACGAAAUUCGGACCAAGGGUAAAAUUGAAAAAAAAAAAAAAAAAGGGUGUGCAAGGAAAGAUAUAGGGUGGAAUAGGUAAAACUCACAAUUCAUUUUGGUGCGUCCUUCAACCCUCAAACCCAAUAGUCAGAGAGCUUUGCCAAUGAUUAUUCUCUAGUUUUACACCCGAUAAUUUUCUUAAUCUUGUCAUUUUCAAGAUAAAAGACCACUAAUUCAGAAAACGAGAAUGAGAAGGGAAGUGGCAAACGAACUUUGACUCGUAAAGGCAAAUUAAAGCAUGACAAUGUCUAGAUAGGGGAAACUUAAAUUCCUAACAUUUCAUGGGAAGGUAAUAAUUGUCUCAAUCGAUUUCCAGAACUAACACUUCCUUCAUUUACUAAGUAAUUUCUUAUCCUUGUUUUUAAGAGUCUUUGUGCAAUUUUAUUUAAGGAUUUUUAGAAAAUUCUAAGGAGGUGCUGAUAGUUUAGUGAAGAGUCUAUGAUGUUUAGAGAAACCAUUUUAAGUCUUGUAUUUUCCUACCUAGACAACUCUAUAAAUGUCAUAAGUCUUUUUGUUAUAGACGCUAUGAGUUGAUUUUAUCACUAUGACUAGAAAAACUCAUUGGAUUAGUAUUGAAUGAUCAACUUCAAUGAUGUUGUUUGAACUAUAUGUAAUCGAUGAUGUCCUCUAUUAAUGCAAUCUGAAAUAUGCUUAUAAGGUAUACCUUGUGCUUAAUGAUUUUCAAUGCCUGAUAAACUCUGAAUUGAUUUUAAUUUAUAGUUCACAAUCAACACUUGUUUUUGUAACACGAACUAGGUAGUGUUCUUUAAUCAAUUUAUCUAGACAUAAGGUAUUAAUUAGUAUGGUCGGUAGUUUAACUGUCAAUGAAUCUUUUGAUAAAAUUAGUUUCACCUAAGAAAUUAGGGUUCUAUUUUAGAUAAAUGGGACGUCGAGGCAAGAAAUUGGUCGUGGUCUAUUUCUUUAAACUGUUGUGAACAUAGAAAUCAAAUUGUUAUUGUCUAGGAACUAGUAUUAUCAAAGAAAAUCUUUCUAUAAUUUAAUUUGCGAAACCAAAUCUUACGAAAACUCCCCCCAAUUUAACUUUUUAAUAAGUAUUGUUUAAUUGUCAAGUAUAAACAAUAAUAUUUGUGGAGAGGGAUCUUUAUAAACACUAUUACUUGAUCUGCCAAAGAGUCCAUCAAGCUUUUGGCGCCAUUGUUAGGGAAUCGUUGAUGAUCUCAACAAGGUAGCUACGCUCUACUUACAUGAUUUGUUUUUUUUUGUAAUUUAUUAUAAAAACAUAAAAAUAUUUACUUUUGGCUCUUUAAUCUUAGUGUGUGUUGUGCUAAAUAAAUAUUCUUGAGUGUUGUUAUGCGAGGUGGAAGCUCAGGUACCUUGUUAUUUGAUUCUGAGGUUGAGAAGAUUACAAGAGAAAACCAGAAAGAUUCUUUUUCUAUCUCAGUACCCCUCAAAUAAUCUAAAAAUACUAUCAGAGGGAGAACAUAGGCAUGGUUAGAGAUGGUUUAGCAAAGGAAACUCAAGUUUGAGUUUUCCCCCCAAAAUCCUAAAAUACUCUUUUUUUCCUUAUUCUUUUUUUUCUUCCAGAAUUAAUGAACGAUGGUGUGCAAGUCCUAUAUUUCACCACUUAUAUGUCACGCAGGUUCUAUUGUAACUUCUUUCAUUUAUUACUUUCGUUGUUCUUUUGCUUGAUCUAUUCUUUUUUCCAUGUCUAUUCUCUGUUCCGAUUUGUUUUGAUUUUGUGAUCGAUAUUAUCUCUACUGUUACUUCUUUCGGUUAUUGUAUCCCUUGGUGUUUGAUUAUGUUUCACAUUGAUAAACUUAAUAGUGUUUUUACUUUUUACUUGUUGAAGAGCUUACAUUUGUGUCUAUAGAGUUCUAUUGGAAGUAAAUUGUUUAUUUUUAUGUUUUCUUAUAUUUUUGUUUGUUUUUGUAUUCAACUUGGCUAUUGUAAUCACACCUCUGUUUCCGGUAGCUGAAUUAUUAUUGUCUAAAUUUGAUCAAAGGCAACCUAGCAAUUGAAUAAUCGAGCCUUGUCGGAAAGUGUCAUUGUCACCACUCAAUGGAUGAGAAACCAACAAAAAAGCCGGAUUAUUAGAAGAAUGAAUGUGAAAGAAUUGUUACCAAUCAUGGAAGUCAUGGGAGGUACAUAAAGUUCAACAAGAUCACAAAAGAAUAGCGUGAGAAGGAGAAAAAAGUUGUGCGAGAAAUCAGAGAGAAUUGAGGAAAAACUCAGUUGAUACCAUAUUUGAACCAUAUGAGACAAUUGAUUCCUGAAAUAAAAACAUUAAGGCUGCAUUUGAUACAAGAGGACUAGAAUGUUACAAGGUACAAACAGACACAAUAAUUCUUAUUGAUGUAAAGUAAAACAUUAACAAUAAAACAAACAUACAUAAUAACAUGAUCGUAAGUAGGAAGUGAGGGAAUGGAAUUCCUUCACAUCUGUUAUUCAAAGCAGCAACACAACAACCAUGAUCCACUUUAGAUGGAGAUACUAUUAGGAAUGCCUCGGCAAGUCAAUCCUUCCUCACUAGAAGGAUAAAGUAGAGUAUAUGGCAUCUUCACUGGUCCGUACCGAUUUCUCAAUGUCUCAUCAUUGUUCCUUUGAGUGAGUUUCUGUUCAAUUUCAGCCAACUUCUUUCCAAACCUCUUGAAGGCUUCUUUUGGUUGUGAAUCUGAAGUCCAAUUGUCACCUUCAAUUCUAUCUCCAAGGUAUUGCUCAUCAGAAGCAUGCCUUGACAAGACCUCUAUAAUGGUCAAGUCAGUAAGUGUAUCAUUCUUUGGUGUGAUUGUCCUCAAAUAAGACUUCUGGUAGUCCUUAGCAAGCUCAUCAUACUCAGGUGAUCCUUUCUCAGGCAUGAAUCUUCUACUCUUUGUUGGCCGGUUAAGGAUAUAUCCUCCAUAUGGAUAUUGUCCGAAAUUAACAGCUGCAUGAAGUGCUGAAGCAAUCCAUAUAAGGAUGGUGGAAGCUUCGAUCAACUCUUCACGGGUUUGCAUCUUAAACCACCAUGUGGCAUUCUUCAGGUCACCAUGACCAACCUCUACAAGUUCCUUCCAGAAUGCUUGGAGUUCAGCAUCUUGUGCAAUGGCAGCAUCAGACUUGUAAUAGAAAUUCACAUAUUCACCAACCCAUGACUUAAUGGCAGCCCAUAUUUCUAGUCCAUCAGAAGCAUAAGGAUAAUCCUCUAUCAGAAGGCGGAGACCGGUAGGAGAGGCUGGAUCCUCAACAGCUACUCCUCUAAAUAACAAGCAAGGAAGAAAUAUUAACAUACAAAAAAUAUGUUCUAUGGAGUUAUUAUUAAUUAAAGUGAUUUUAAUGAUCAUUUUACAACUGUUUUAGAGGAGAUUUAAGCCCGUAUAACAGAAAUUAUUAGUUAGAGUUUGUUGAUAAAAAAUUGACAGACCAAAGAUGUAAGGUUACCUUUUGAUUAGAUCGUUAGGUAGUCCUUGCUCAAUGAAAUUCCAAUCCUUGUAAACAACAGCAGACAUUUCCAAAGCAUAAUUUCCCCACAAGAAGGUUGAUUCUAUAAUACCCUCUGCAUUGACCAAGACAUUUCGUGCAAGUGCAUUUAUGUUCAUUGUGUCACGGUAGUGAGGAAGUAAAAGUUUAUGAAUAGGGUGAACCACACUAAGAUGCCUGUUUGUUGCUAUGAUGAAUGGCUCAACAACAGCGUGGGUGUUCAACCUGUCACACAUGUCGAUAUUCAUGAAUUAAUCAUAGAUAGGUUAAUUAUGUUUGAUUGUGUAUACGUGAUUAAUGAGAUUCAUACCAAUGGCUGACAAGUUGAUGAUAGCAGGAGUCAUUUACAACAACAAAAGCCUUGGCAAGGAGCCAAAUUGAAGCUUCAACACCUUCACUUGCGGGCAAGUAAACAUUGCUAACAGGACCAAAACUAUCACCUUGAGGGUGUGGCCUGCUUAGUUCAAUGGCCAGUGGCUUCAAAGUUCCAUCAUCUUGCAAGAAAAGUAUGGUUCUGGUAGCAUAGGCCUUUGUCUCGGUUGCAUUUAUUUUCCUCAAAUAUGGAAAGAGUGGGUCGUGGUGAUCAAGUAUGUACAAUCUAUUGUCUUGGAUAGCCUGUAUGACAAAAUAAAAUUUAGCUACUGUGGUUUACUUGAAUAAAAAAAAUUCAAUCAUGGAGAAAAAUAUUAAUCAAACUAAGUCCAUGAGGUGUCAACCCAGUGGUUAAAGUCGACCUUAUAACCUCAAGGGAUAGAUUUCAAAUUUUCUCCCGGACGAAAUUCACGAACGCCACUUUGGAAAAAAAUAGAACUGAUCAAAUAUGUCAUUACCUGUUCUACGGUGACCCCACCCAUGUUUGGCUCCAAGUUUUCUUUGGUUAUGGUGCUGGUAUUAUCACCAAAUUUUUGGCUAUCUAGCUUGCUCUUUGGUGGAAACUCCUGUAUUAAAUUUAGCAAGCAAUAAUGUCACCAAUUACAAAAAUAACAUAAUGUUUACAAAAUAGUCUUAGUUUUAUUUUUUUAAUUUCUUAACAAAGUUAAACUAUUAGCUUUACCGAAAGUUUUUUGAUGAUGUGUGGGUUCACCCCAGCAAUCAUCUCCCUUGCAAAUUCCUCAUCAGUCUGCCAUGCAGAAUGGUCCACUGUUCAUAUUAAGAAAUUUUCAAAAGAUCCAUUAGAUUUCUUUAUAUGAUUUUGUAUAAAUAUAUUACUGCAAGGACUAGGUAUUAUGAUUAAUAUAUACCUUGAAUCACUUUUGGUGGUGGAAACUUAAGUGCUUGUUCACCAUCAGAUCGGAAAAGUUCCUUGAACAAUGGUAUUGGACUAAUCUGGCUUAGUACAUCAGUAGGAAGCUUAAUUCCACCCUCGUAGAGAGAGCGCACAUCUUGAAAGGUGUUAAACUCAGGGUUAUUGAGUUGUAAUGUAACUACAGAUCUCAGUUGAGGUAUGACAUUUUGAGAUGCUGAUUUGAGUAUGUAAACAAGAAAGUCUGAUGACUUUGUGUGUCCAAAAGAUUCAUCUCUUGGAAGGUAAACAGUGGGACUUCGAGUCUCACUCUUAGGAUCUGUUCAAAUAUAUAAUAACAAUAUAUGUUUUAGAAACAAUACCAAAAUCUUUAGAAUCAUAAGCAGGGUAAACAUUUGGAUCAACCAAAAAAACACAUGUUUAGUCCAAAAUCUGACAGAAGUGUUUGUGGCCUAACCUGUUUUAGUUUUUCUUCUGCCAGUUCUUCCCCUUCGAGGGUAAGGGAAAUCGCUUGAUCCCCCAAGAAUUUGACGCGCCAAUUGAGGUUUCGAGUCAGGCUCACCCAAAUCAUUGUAGACAUCGUAAUCAUAUAUUCUUUCCCAUUCCUUGCGCUCUCCAGUUCCAUCUCCUCUUAAAGUCUUCAAUUCUUCUUGUCUGUAGUACACUAAUGGAGCCGGUGUUUCACUUGGAAGGUAUGUCUACAUAAAUUUAAUCAUUCAAAAUAUCAAGUUUUAGGAAAUAGGCUUAAUAUUCAGCAAGCUAUAUAGUUAUUAUGAUAAAGUGGAUUUGUGAUUUGAGACAUCAGAAAGAGAUUGGGAGUUGCAAGUUCUCAACUCCCUCUACUCGCAUUUCUAAAAACUAAUUACUAAUAUUUGUCGUUAUAAUAGAAAUAACAAGCUACAUGUGUAAUAGAAUUUUUAUUCUUACCUUGUUGGCAAAGAAGAUGCGGUCGGUUUUGUACUUUUUAGAAUUGUAAAUCCAUGAGUUGCAGACAAAGUGGAUGGAUCCAUGGUUUGGAACAUCUUCAAGUGUCAAACUCACAAGGAAGAAUUCACCUUGCAUAAAAUUAUCGAUGUAAAAAGCUCCGGGAAUUCCCAUGUUACUGUCCCAUUCAAAAUGAAUACUGAAAGCAUUUUGUUUGUCUCCCAAUGUUGGUAUGGAGGUAAGAAGACCUUCCAGAAAUGUUUCCUUUCCCACUUUUCCUUUUCCAGCAGCUAUAUUAAAAAUGUCAAAUAUUAUUAGUUUCUCAAUUUCACUAAUCCAUGAUUUUCAAAGUUUAAUUUUAUUCUUUUACAGAUCCAUUUUUCUUUUUACAUGAUCAUCAUCCAUCUUGCCUGAGUUAUAUCGAAGGGAAAUAAUUUCAAUAUUUUAGUGGUAAUUGAUUGUACCUGAUCAUUUAUAACCAAUAUUCUACAUCAAAAUCUCCAUUGCACAUUUUUAAUUUAAUAAAAAAAACAAAAGGGAAAAUAAGGUAAAUCUUAAUGGAUUGAUGUAUCAAAAACUCUUCUUGAAUAAUAGGCUGGCUUGGUGGUGUGGUGGAAGAGUUAUGGAGUAAUUAAUGCAGUCUGAGUUCAAUUCUUACAUCUAGCAAAAACUAACAACCGACAUAAUACUCAUUCGAUAUUAUUUAUAAGAAAUAAUGAAUUUUUUGAUUUAUUGAAUAAUUAAUGUAUAUGAUAUAUAUUCUAGAUCGAAUACAUAAAUUAUUCAAUGAAUCUAAAAAAUUAAUUAUUUCUUAUAAAUAGGAUUGGAUGAAGUAAUAUUUAUUGCUUAAAAAAAUAAAACUCCUCAAUAUUUUGUUGUUAAAUCAGAGAUAUCCUCCACGUGCAAAUGUCUGUCACUUAUGUUAUGUCACACAAUGUUGGUAAAAGAGUCUAAGUAAAGAGAUCAUAGAAGUAUGAAAAGAAGCAAUUUUAAAUAGAAAAAGAUAGUAGAAUUUACAAUUUUAAAAAUCUAAUAAGACAGAAGUUCAAAUAUAAAGUAUAUAGAUGGGGAUGUCAAAUUUUAAAUAGCUUAUGGUACAAGAUUAAUUUAAAAAAUUUAAGUGAGCAUGUGCACCCAUCACGUAGAUCCAUACAUACCAAAUGACAAAGAUAAAGUCCAAAACAGUUGCCAAACGCCAAAUAUCACACUUAUUUGCAUUAUAUAUACUUCUUUUUUUACAAAACCAUUAGAUAUACUCCCUUUAAUAUACAUUGGAUAUAAGUUUUUAUAUAGUCAUUUUUUAUUCCAAUAGUACUAUUUUUUCCAUAUCAUUUUAUUACUUAAUCAAAUGUCCAAAUUAUUUUAAAUAGUUACUUAAAUAAUUUCAUAAUUUCUUUAUUUUAAUUAAGAAGAGACAACGAUGAAAUUUUUGUCUGUCAAGUAAGGAUAUAGUUUUGCAGUUAAUAAAAGAAUAUAAACACAAUUUUUUUCUUUUCAUAAAUUUCAUCAAAGAAGGUAAUCAAUCUUAUUCAGAAUCCGUCGAUCAGACACUAAAUGUGAUACCUCUCUCAAUCAAGAUUCUAAAAUCAUUCUCGUCCGUUAGAUCCAAUUACUUCCAUUGGUGUACACAUAAUUUAAAUAAGUUAUAUCAAUCAAUUAAUUAAAAUGCCUAUUUCUUGUAUGAAUUAAACAUAGUGAGAAAGGUCCUCGUGAACUAGCUCAAUUGAUAGAGACAUAUAAUAUAAUAUAUGCAGGGGUUGAAGUCCGAACCCUAAACAUCCGACUUCUCCAUAUUUAAAAUGUGUGAGCUCCCGUCACUGGGUUAAUUGACAAAAAGAAAAAUAGAGUGAGAAAGAGAAAUGAGUUAUUACCAUCAGCACUUGUAGCACUAAUCAACCUGAGAGCUAUAGAACGUCCCAAGAAGGAAGUGGCAGUAUCAAGUAUAUUGCCAGCAACAUCACCAACAAUACCAAAGGCACCACCAAUGAUACCAGUAGGGCUUUUAGCAGCAGUGAGGGCGUUGAUAUCCAAAGUAUUCUUUUGCAUCAACACCACAGUUCCCUUCAACUUUUGGCCUCUAUCAAAGAGACCUGUUACACCAGAAAACAUCUUUGAAUAUGCUUUAAAUGUAUUACACUAUAUAUGGUAAAUGAAAGAAAGGCUUGUGUCUUGUAACCAUAGGGGUGGUUAGUAUUUAUAGUAGUUGAUGAGAUUAGGAUCACAAUGUUAUAGUUCAAAUGAGGUGAUAUUUUUAUUCAACUACUCAUUUACAACAUGGUGGAAUGCAAUUGGUCACGUCUUAUGCUAAUUUUUUAUUAUGAGUGAUUAUCUCGUGGUAUAUAAAAUAAUAAUAUAUCCGAUUGCAAAAUUAUUUUGGUAGUUGUUAUAUGUGCCAGCCUUGGCAUUAUGUUCAAUAAUAAUGACUCUGUUUGCUCUAUUGUUAAUUAUUACUACUAUCUUACGUGUCUGCAUUGGUUUUCUCGAGUUUUCUCAUAUUUUUUAAAGUGGGAAAAUCUCUACCCUUAAAAUUCAUUUCUUUCUUAUUUUAAUUUCAAAAUCUCUCCUCUUUUUUUUUUUUUUUUUUUUUUCUUUUUCUUUUUCUUUCUCUCAUACUAUCAAAUCAAGAUUAGGAUUGGACUUGAGAUACAUUUGCUUAGUCACAAACAUAAAAAUGAGUCAUUUAACACACACAAUGUAAUAAAAAAAAUUGAUUUGGUGUUGUGGUCUAAUUUAACACUUACUAUAUAAGUAUUUCUCCAUCCAAAGAUGGAUCCAAAAAUCUAUUAGCAAUUUUAGUUCACGGCCUAAUUUAUUCUCUUGUUUGGGAGUCUUUUGUAACAAUUUUUGUUUUUUUAUUUUGGGUUGACGGCAAGACCUUUGUCUUUUGAUGUAACUAUACUCUUUUUCCUUGUUCUUUUGGCACUUUCUGUGCUGGAAUAGCAGAUAUUUUUCAAAUAUAAGCAAUCAACGUUUGUUCUAGGGCGCUCUAUAUAUGGAUAAUGUUAUCAGCCACGUUUUUGACAUUUGCAUCAAUUUUUUUCUUUAUAAAUGAUGAAUAAGACAUGUAUUACUAAUGAUGGUUGAUAUUCCAGCUAUCAUGGAAUCCAAGUCGCCAUAGUACAAUGUUUUUAAAAUCCCAGCUAUGUUGGCAACCCAAAACAUCGUGUGUCAAAUGCGCCACAUCUUAUAUAUUAUUAAUAAUAAAAAAUACAAAAACGAAAAAAGUUGAGUUAAACUCAACAAAGCUAAUUAAAAUGAUAGGUAUGCAUACCAAACCUAUCUAAAAAAACCACUGAUAAUAAAACUAGGACAUAUAUACCACCAUUGAAAAUCUCCAAUUAGUUUACAAAUAUCAACGAAAAAACUUCUCCUUUUCCUCUUGUGACAUAGAUGAUCUCCAGUAGGUUUCUGCGUUUUUCCUCUUCAGUUUCGUGUUUUGCUGCUUGCGUUGGGGGUGUGAAAAUUAAACACUGAUGACUUGUGAAAAAAAGAAGCAUAAAGGGCUGCUGGACUAAAGUCUGAUAAUUGUUGGUCCCUCUAUUAUUUUUGUUAUAUACACCCCUCUAUAAACGAUUAUUGUUAUAUACACCCUCGUAUAAAAAAAUUAGGUCCCUAAAGGCAUGGGCCCUAGGCUGCCGCACCCCAUCCUAUAUCUAUGGCUGGCCCUGAAUGUUAUCGUUGUAAUAGAAGUGGUUUAAUAUAUAAAAUGAAAGACAUAAGGUAAAUAGGGUAAUGUUGCAUUAAAAAUGGAUGUUGGUAAGGCAUGUGGCAUUGAUAGGUCAUUUGAAAGAAAUUUUGAUGAAGAUGAGGUUAUGUCAGUAGUGAAUGAACUAGAUAAUGAUGUGUAUUAAAAUGGUGGAUUAUUCCAUUAUUGUUAACAAUGAAAUCACAUGACCAAUCAUACUCGGACGAGGCCUUCAUCGGAGAGAUUCUUUGUCUCAUUGUUUAUUCUGUGUGCAGAAGGCCUAUGUGCUCUUAUUAAGUAUGUCGAGGCUAGUGGAGAGCUUCAUGGGGUCAAAAUUUGUCGAAACACUUUGAUUAUUACUCGAAUUUUAUUUGCAGAUGACUACUUUCUAUUUUUCAGGGAAGGUGAAGCGCCGAGACUCAAAAUAUGAAGCAAAUUUUGAGGUUGUACAGAGCAACGUCUGGAUAUUACAGCUUAAAUGCCCAACAAUCCCUUCAAAAUGCUUUUACAACAACCUUAGGGGGGUCAGGCGGUGUUAUGCACAAUGAAGUACAUCGGACUACCCUCUAUGAUUGGUAGAAGAAGGAAUGUUACGUUCAGCUUUCUCAAAGAUAUGACUGGAGCAACAAGUAUUUGUGAAAGGAAGAUAUAAUGAUAAAAACAUGUACUGCAAGCAAUACCAUCUUAUGGAAUUAGAAUUUUCUUACUUUCUACCAUGUUCUUUGAUGCCAACGAAAAGAUUAUUAACACGUACGUACUGGUGGGGUCAUGGUGGUUCCACAAUUAGAGGUAUUGACUGGUUAUCAAGGGACAUGCUUGUUGUCUACAAAUUUUUUGGAGGUUUGGGGUUUAAAUACUUGACGUCAUUCAACUAAGCAAUGUUAGGAAAACAAGAUCGGAAAUUCCACACACACUUGGACUGUUUGGUAUCAAGACUGUUCAAGGCGCUCUAUUUUCCUCAUGGAAGCUAUCUAGACCGAAAGUGAUGACAGAGCACUAUAUGACAUUUUGGGCUAUGUUUUUAGUACUUUUAUUUGCAUUUGAAGACAUAUAAGUUGAGAGAUAGAGGAGUUGUUAAUGGUUUGGGAAACAUAUUGUAUUGUUUUCAAUCGAGCCGUUGUUCUUGAUGCUUGACAGUUUAAGGAACCUCUAGGGUAUGUUUUUUAAACAUCGUUGUUCCUUGAUUGAGGAACCUCUAGAUAUUUCAUGAAGUGUAAUUCCUUUAGAUGACAAUUUAAGAGUCACACGGGAUGUUGCAGUCAAAAGAUGUGAUCAUGGCUUUCAUAAUUGAGUUAUGGAUAAAACGACAUCUGUAGGAAUAUUCUCUCUAUAGUAAACCACCGUUUAUGUAAUUUUUAGGUUUUAAUUAAUAGGUACUUUGCAUUAAUCCAACAAAGAGGGAAGAGGGAAGAGGGGAUUCAAGGAUUCCCUAAUCACCGUUAUACAUCUAAAUCACACAAACAUAAUCUUUCUUUGGAUAGGGAAAUUUAACCAUGCAAAUCUUUUUUUCAUCUCUUUUCUAUUUUCUUUCUAAUAAGUUUUGCUAAUUACCGAAAAACUUGCUACUUUAUUAAUUGUUAUGAUUUGGUGCACUUGCCAAUUUCGUCCUUCAGAAAGCUUGGACAUAAAUCAAAGCUUUAGUUGGAGAAGAAUAUUUACCGCUAAGAGAGUAGUACAAAAAGUUGCUCGGUGGAAGAUCAGAUCGGGUACAAAGUUUCAAUUUUUUAUGCUUUGUGGGUAAAAGAUGGGACAAGUAUUCUAGGAGAUGGUCAACCUCUCAAGGUAAUUCAACAGGCUAAAGUGCACAAUCUCGUUGAUCAAGAAUUUCCCGUAUAGAACAAUCAUAUUGUAAACCAGUGUUUUGAUCAACUUAUAAAUGAGCUCAUUCUGAGUACUCCUUUAAUUGAGUCUGUUAAAGAAAGAUAAAUUAAUUUUUAAAUCAAAGAAAAAUGAACAUUACUCGGUAAAAAUUGUGUACAAGAUUUAUACAUAAAAUAGUGCAGGCAACUCAUAUUUAUGUCAGUAAGGUCAUUGGCUGGAAUUUAGAAGUUAAAGGUGCAUCCCAAAGUGAAGGAUUUCAUUUGGCUGAUUUAUCAAGGUUGCUUACCGACGCGUGUAAGGCUGAAAGAUCGAAGUCUCCAUUGUCUGUCUAUUUGUAUGAUGUGCACCGGUAACUAUGGGGAUGCAAUGCAUAUAUUGUUUGAUUCUCCGUAAAUAGGAUAUGUAUAUAUUUUUCUCAAGUGCAUUAAUUUUAUCAUUCAUAGCUCCAGCCCAGUUUAUAUUUUUAAAUGUUUCUUCAAUAGAUGAUUUGAUUCUCACAUAAUCAACGGCAACAAUAAAACUUUGAUUGUGUGGAAAGUUGUUUAGUGGAGACAUAUUGAGAAAUAUGUAUGAUAUCUAUAUAUAGAGGGACAGAUCGAUAACAUUUGCAAUCAUCUACAACAGGCCAUGUUACCCAAGAACAAUCAUCAAUAAAAGAAACAAACCACCUUGCCCCAUAAAUAUUAGAAACAACAAGAAAUAUUAGAAACAGGGGCCGAUCGGCAGACAUCAAAAUGAAUAAGAUCAAAUGGUUCAACACUUUUACGAAGAUUCAACGAAAAAAGUGGUAUGUGUACGCUUAUAAAAUGGAUAUAUAUAUCACAUUUAAAAGACUAAAUCGAUUGCAUUAAAAAACAAAGAUGGAAACAUAAACUUCAUUAGUUGAAAAUGAGGAUGACAAAGACGUUUGUGCUGAAGCCAAAUUUGAGAGGCAGAAUAAGACUCUGACUAAGACUGAAGUGCAGAAGACAACACCUUCUGAUCAAUUCGUGCAUCAUACAAAUAAUAUAGCCCUCCUUGUUCCUAAGCAACUCCAAUCGUCUUUCCCAUUACAAGAUCCUCGAAAGCACAAUGUGAAUCAAAAAAUAUUACUGCACAAAUAUUAUCCUUUAUAAGCUUACGAACAUAGAUAAGGUUAUUCCAAAGACAAGGAACAUGAAGCAUAUCUUUCAACUUAAAAGGUUCAAGGUUAAUUUCUCCACAACCAUCUACACGAGUAUGAGAACCAUAUGCAGCCGCAAAAAAGAAUGUCAUAUGAAGAAAUUUACUUCAAAAAGGCCAAGAACCAAUGUCAUAUGAUCAAUAGCACUAUAGUCAAUAAUAUAAUCAACAUUUCAAGCAAAAACCACAUAUAACUAUUUUCAGUCACAUUGGCUGAUAACUACAAAAGAAUCUCCUCAAAAGAACAACAAAAAGAAGAGGCUUCAAAUAACAAAAAAUAGGCAACAAGGUAAAAACCGUAAGUCGCAACAACGUAAAAUCACCAAAUAAAAGUCAAACUGAAUCACAAAGGGUCCUCAAAGAUGCUGGUAGUCACAAACAAGCACAAAACAACCGCUAUCAAUCAGUUAGUGUCAAGAGUACCCACGUAAAAUAGUAUCUUGGUCUUGGAUCAAGAUUUUGACCCCUUAAACGAACCAAUUAUGUGAAGACUAUAAUUUCUAGGAAUAAAUGGUGUCGAAUGGUGGUUCACAAGGUGGCAUGUGCAUCGCACUUGAUGGAGCUUCACUUUAGAUUGGGCCUCUGCUCUCAACUUCUCAAGUUCUUCUUCAAAAAGUAUUUGAGAACAAAUUUUUAUAGCCCUUUCGUUUAAAAAAUCUUUUUAGUUUUGCCAUAUUAGUUGAUGUAUGAUUCUUUAACUGUAUUUACAUUGGAAAAACAAUUGGCAGUGGAAAUAAAAUCAUUAUGAUCUAUUAUUGCUUUUUCAAUGUUAUCAUUUUUUUGUCAUGCUAUAUUGCAUAUUUGCAUUGAGAGCUUUUUUGUCAUGAAAUAAAAUAUGAAGUUUGCAUUUUAUAUACAAAGUAAAUCACACAACAAAAUAGAAACAUAGUAACUUUUAUUGAUGAAAUACAUUAUAACAAUCAAACAUGAUAGUUUUUAUUGAUAAAACACAUUACAGAAUUAAAAACAAACGUACAUAAUAACAUAACAUGACGAUAUACAUAGGGGGCGAGGGAAUUGGAUUCCUCCUCCUCUUUUAUUAAUAGCGACAACGCAACAACCACGACGUUUUUUAGAUAGAGACACUGUUGGGAAUGCCUCUGCAAGUCAAUCCUUCCUCACUAGAAGGAUAAAGCAGAGUGUAAGGCAUCUUCACUGGUCCGUUACGAUUCCUCAGUGUCUCAUCAUUGUUCCUUUGAAUGAGUUUUUGCUCAAUUUCAGCCAACUUCUUUCCAAACCUCUUAAAGGACUCUUUUGGCUGUGAAUCAGAAGUCCAGAGAUCACCUUCAAUUCUCUCUCCAAGGUAUUGCUCAUCAGAAGCAUGCCUUGACAAGACUUCUAUAAUGGUCAAGUCAGUAAGAGUAUCAUUCUUGGGUGUUAUUGUCCUCAG
rnacentral:lncRNA from 1 species